UACAGGGGGGGGGCAACGUUUGUUCGGAAUUACUGGACGUAAAGGGCUCGUAGGCGGCCAACUAAGUCCGACGUGAAAUCCCAAAGCUUAACUUUGGAACUGCGUCGGAUACUGGAUGGCUUGAAUUCGGGAGAGGGAUGCAGAAUUCCAGGUGUAGCGGUGAAAUGCGUAGAUAUCAGGAGGAACACCGGUGGCGAAGGCGGGGUCUCUGGGCAGUAACUGACGCUGAGGAGCGAAAGCGUGGGGAGCGAACAGG
rnacentral:rRNA from 1 species